AACGAACGCUGGCGGCGCGCCUAAUACAUGCAAGUCGAGCGAGAAGACGUAGCAAUACGUUUGUAAAGCGGCGAACGGGUGAGGAAUACAUGGGUAACCUACCCUCGAGUGGGGAAUAACUAGCCGAAAGGUUAGCUAAUACCGCGUACGCUCCUUGGACUUCGGUUCAGGGAGGAAAGCGAUACCGUGGGUAUCGCGCUCUUGGAUGGGCUCAUGUCCUAUCAGCUUGUUGGUGAGGUAACGGCUCACCAAGGCUUCGACGGGUAGCUGGUCUGAGAGGACGAUCAGCCACACUGGCACUGCGACACGGGCCAGACUCCUACGGGAGGCAGCAGUAAGGAAUAUUGCGCAAUGGGCGAAAGCCUGACGCAGCGACGCCGCGUGGGGGAUGAAGGUCUUCGGAUUGUAAACCCCUUUCGGAGGGAAGAUGGAACGAGCAAUCGUUCGGACGGUACCUCCAGAAGCAGCCACGGCUAACUUCGUGCCAGCAGCCGCGGUAAC
rnacentral:rRNA from 1 species